UACAGAGGGUGCGAGCGUUAAUCGGAAUUACUGGGCGUAAAGGGUGCGUAGGUGGUUUAGUAAGUUAGAUGUGAAAUUCCUGGGCUUAACCUGGGGACUGCGUCUGAUACUGCGAAGCUAGAGUCCUGUAGAGGGAAGUGGAAUUUCCGGUGUAGCAGUGAAAUGCGUAGAUAUCGGAAGGAACAUCAGUGGCGAAGGCGACUUCCUGGACAGAGACUGACACUGAGGCACGAAAGCGUGGGGAGCAAACAGG
rnacentral:rRNA from 1 species